AGAAUGGCGUGAACCCAGGAGGCGGAGCUUGCGGUGAGCCGAGAUCGCGCCACUGCACUCCAGCCUGGGUGACAGAGCAAGACUCCAGCUCAAAAAAAAAAAAAAAAAAAAAAAAAAUCUACUCUCCCAUGCUUGCCUCGGCAGCACAUAUACUAAAAUUGGAACGAUACAGAGAAAACUAGCAUGGCCCCUGCGCAAGAAUGACACGCAAAUUCGUGAAGUGUUCCAUAUUUAAAAAAAAAAAUCUACUUUCCUGGUAAAUUUCAAGUAUAGAGUACAGUAUUGUCAACCAUAGUGGCAAAGCUGUACAAGAGAUCUUCAGACCCAUUCCUCCUGAAUACCUGAUAGUUUGUAUCCUUUGAUCAACAUCUCCCAAUUCCCUCCCCCACACUGUCCCUGUAGUUCUAGUGAGUUUCCCAGACUCUGAUGUCUCAAUUUCAUUCAGUCACUUUCCUCCAGAUACAUCUACCCAUUCCUACUGCAUCUUAGUAUCCUGAGCCUUGGGGGCAGUUUCUGUGCCAAGUGGAAAUGUGGAAAUGAGAUAUUACGAAGAAAAAUCUUUGCCCACCUAGACAGGGAUCUGAUGUUUUCCAAGAUGACACAUGAUUACAUGUUGAAAUGAUAAUAUUUUGAGUCUACUUGUAUAAUAAAAUAAUAUUUUGGAUCUAUUAGGUUAAUAUUUUGGGUCUGUUGGGUUAAUAAUAUUUUGGGUCCAUUGGGUUAACUUAAAUUAAUUUUAUCUGUUUCUUGUUAGCUUUUUAAUUUGGAUACUAGCAAGUUUGAAAGAAUGCAUGUGGUUUGCAUUAUGUUUCUAUAGGACAGAACUUACCUGUAGAUGUAAGGGAGUCACAACAAAAUUACAAGCAUUGUUUUUGGUGGAAAUGAGAAAAAUGAUUACAAAUUUACAUGGAAAAGCAAAUAGCCAAUAAUAAUAAUAAUGGCAAUCUUAAAGAGGAAGGAGAAAUUAGAGGAUUCAGGCUGCCAAAUUUUAAGGGGUUCUAUAAGGCCACAUAAAGUGCAGCAUCCUCAUGAGAGUGGACACAGAGAGCCACUGAGCAGAAAAGAGUGUGUAAAAUACAUCUGUGUACACACAGUCCUUUUAUAGUUGACAGAGGCUGCCAUGCGGAUUAAGGUGGAAUAGAAUGUCUUCUCAGUAAAUAACAUUGGACCAGAGGGUUACAAGCAGGAAAAAAUAAAUCUAAGCUUAUUUUCACACCAUAAAAACACUGCUAAUUUUUUAUCUUAUUAUCAUACAUUUUGAUGAUUUAUUUAUAAAAUUGAUGAAUGAAAAUUAUAUACAGUUGUCCUUCACUAUUCAUGGGUGAUUGGUUCCAGGAAACCCCCCUCCCUACCAGACACCAAAAUCUGCAGAUGCUCAAGCCUGUUGCAUGAAAUGGCACAGCGUUUGCAUAUAACCCAUGCACAUCCUCCUGUAUACAUGAAAUCAUCUCUAGAUUACUUAUAAUUCCUGAUACAGCCUACACACCACCUCACUUGUGUCCACACAAUAUAGUAUUUUUGCUUUUUGGAACUUUGUGGAUUUUUUCUCUGAAUAUUUUUGAUUUAUAUUUGGUUCAAUAAACACCUGUAAACCCCACAGAUAUGGAGGAGCGACUGUAUAUUUAUAGUAUGAAAGAUGAUGUGUUGACAUGUGUCCCUGUGGAGAUGAGACUAACAAGGCCUAUGACUCUACAAAUGUUUCAUCUUGGAAUGACUCUGCCAGCUUUCCAGGUCUGCAGAGAGUAAGAAUAUCACUUGUUCAUGUGAUUCACGAUCCUUGGAACCUCCUAUGUGCUGCAUCUUUGGAUGGAAAUUGGAGUCCCAGAGACAAAUGAGGCUCCACCCUGCUUCCAGAAGCUCAGAGUCCAGGGCUGAGAACCCAGUAGAGAACAUAUCAGGUUAUAUGGACAUAGUAAUGAUAACACUGGAAACUUUUGGCGAAUAAAGAGUCACAUUAUCGAAACCAUGAGGGCAG
rnacentral:lncRNA from 10 species